AACGAACGCUGGCGGCAUGCCUAACACAUGCAAGUCGAACGAGACCUUCGGGUCUAGUGGCGCACGGGUGCGUACCGCGUGGGAACCUGCCCUUAGGUUCCGAAUAACUCCCCGUAAGGUGUGCUCAUACCGGUUAAUGUCAUCGGACCAAAGAUUUCUCGCCUUUGGAUGGGCCCGGGUUGGUUUAGCUAGUUGGUAGGGUAAAAGCCUACCAAGGCGACGAUGCAUAGCUGGUCGGAGAGGAUGAUCAGCCACACUGGGACUGAGGCACGGCCCAGACUCCGACGGGGAGGAGCAGUAGGGAAUAUUGGACGAUGGGCGAAAGCCUGAUACAGCAAUGCCGCGUGAGUGAGGAAGGCCUUAGGGUUGUAAAGCUCUUUUACCCGGGAUGAUAAUGACAGUACCGGGUGAAUAAGCUCCGGCUAACUCCGUG
rnacentral:rRNA from 1 species